UCCAAUUCUGCAAUUUAGAUUCUUCCCCAUUGCCAGUUGGAUGUCGACAACGUCGUUGGUAAAUUCUAUGCAGAAGGGUAUUAUUCUCACUCCUCUCUAUACUCUUCCAAUUCCAACGUCGUCGUUGGGUAGAAGGAGCACUGUCGUUCUGACUGCGCUAUAUCGCCAUUCCCCAUCUCGAGGCAUUUACCACCAGGAAAGUUGAGGCAAACUCAAGAGACGAGCUCUCUGGGUACAAUACAAACCGACAGCAAUGCUUAGAGAAGAAGAGUGUUCUGAAGUUGAUGAUGAUGCUGGGCCAGUGAAUAUCACUCUCUGUGUCUUCCCCUCUCUCUGGCUGGAUUGCCUGGUACUGGCUGCUGUAGAAUAUGUGAGUGUUUUUCAUCUCACUGAUGGUGGUUAGUGUGCUCCUUCUGGGUUGUGCUGAGCUAUGCAAGAGUCGAAUUGUGAGGCGACGAGUCACAAGCAGAGCUAGAACCAAUGUUCUUUCCAUCCAAUGCUAUAGAGAACUUUAUGUAGGGUGAAUAUAUAGAAUAGAACCGACUUUGUCGUUUUACCAAAGUGAAUAUAGCGCUCAUGUAGAUACCACUUAUAUGUACAUAACAUUAAAUGAAUGUAUGUAUGGAGGAUGAAGGAAAAGUGGAUGUAUGUGGGUGGCGAUGGGAUUCAAAAUUAAGGGAGUUCUCUCUACCAUUUCUGUUGCUGCUUGAUUCCAUUCUCACUCUUCUAUAUAAUAUACCAGAAUCGUCAAGUUGAGUCUUAACAAUAUAUAUCUAAAGGUAUAAUAUAAUAUUAUAUGGUGCACGAGGAUAGACUAUCAGCAUGGGUGUGAAAGGAAACUGGUGAAGAGGAGUAGAAGGGAUUGGGAAAGAUACGACAGGAUGUAGGGGUUUUUCACUAGAUGUGUGGUAGAGAGACGACUUCGUGUAGUCUGUGGAAAACUGGAGAAUAUUGGUGGAAAAUUCAGGCAGUAUGGAGUGGAAGUUGGAAAAUUUGUCAGAGAAGCAAUUCUCGCACAAGCACCAAGAGAGAUUGUAGUUAGUAAUGGCAAGACGAAGGAGCUGAGGUGAAGGGAACAUUUUUAACCAGAAACCAUCAGCUUUCAGAGUGUGAACUGAGAAAGAGAAAUGAGAAUGAGGGAAGGCUGGGUGGUAGGUUUGAUGUAUAUAGCUGGGUGGUAAGGUGAAAGAGAAGAAAUUGGUGGUGGGUUAAAACAGAAAGCUGUAAACUAAAUGAACGAACGUCGCUCGUUCUUAUACAAUAUGAACGUGAAGAGAAAUGCUGGAAGGAGCAUGCAUGGUCGGAUAAGUAGAGUUGUAGAAUAAUUCUAUAUCAUACCGUGUAUACGAUGGAACCGUCGUUGCCAACAACGAACGGGUGAAAUGUGGAAGCAAGAAAUACUUGGAAGAAUGAGAAAAGUGUAUGUUACAAUGCUCUGAUAGAUAGAACCAGAGUAGCAAGCAUUGCACAUUUGUUAUAAAAGGAAGGAAGUUGAAGGGUUAAAGGUGUAAGAUAUGGUACUGGAAGAAUCCUCUAAAAGUACAAUACCAUGUGCAAAUUAGGUCUCUUUGAUAACAAUUAUAAUAACGAGGACCGGAAAAGAUUGUAAAAAAAAUCGCAUCUAAAAACUUCAAAUGAACCAAUAUUGGUCAUUCACAUUUCGUUACGCACACAGCUACAUAUUCGUACAUACGUUUUAUCUAACAAUAUAGCAUUGGUGAUUAAUUUUUUUGUGUAAGUUUGUGCCGCGAAUGAAAUAUUAAUGUCAUAAAAUAAUGCUACCGAUUGUACUCCUCAUUUUUUAUUUCUCAUACACAAUUUAUAUCCUCACAUGUUGUUUAGAUUUCGAGAUGUGAGGUGGUCUCUCUGCGUUUUUUUUUUCUUUAGGUUCUCUCAUGAGUAUUUCAUUAGUUUGUUUGGGGAAACCACAUUAAAUUCAACGGAAGACUUCCGUUCAUUUUCCAUCUUCUUUGUUGCAUCUCUAAAUGGGUUAUAUACAUAUAUAUGGUGUGAGCAAAAAAUAAUCAGAUUGACAGAGUUAAUAAAGAUUUUAAAAACAUAUAUGAUGAUAAUUUAUCAGCAUCACGAAACAUUUUUAAUAAUAUAUGAAACUAAUUAUCUUGCUGCAUAAUUCAGAAUCAUUAUUGUCACAGCAAUAAUGACAUGAUCAUUGGGGUAUUUAAAAAAAAUAAUUGUUAAUAUUAUAUUACCUGUUAAUUUGAUAACAUCUUUUUCACUAUAUGUAACGCAAACACAAAAUUAAUGAACUUUACUAAUUUGCAUUACGAUUUUUUAAAUUUUUUUAAAUGAAAUCAAUCGAAUUUAGGUUUCUCAUACUAAGGGUAUUAUCUCGUAUGUCAGGAUACUUUUUGAUAUACCGCUUUUAGAGGAUGUUAAUUAAGAGAAACGGAAAUUAUCGGAGUAGAGAAGGUGGGGCAUUUUCAGGCAUGUA